rfam:Calypte anna contig6125, whole genome shotgun sequence.
CAGAGAAUAGUUUAAUGGAAAAUGCCACCUUUGGGAAUUGGAGAUAGAGGUUUAAGUCCUUUUUUUCUGA